UUACACUCCCACAAUAUAAGCAUUUUCUUUUCUCCACAACCUUACCAGCAUCUCUUAUUUUUUUACUUUUUAAUAUAGGAAGGCUUAACUCUUAAUAUCUAAACACCGUACUUACAAAACAAAUUAGGAUUAAAAUAACUACAUCAAAAUUAUUACUAAAUCUCAGAUCUCAGCCUAAAUGUCACCUGUGCCUUCUCAGAGAGGUGAUUACUCCUGAUUACUCUUCUUUAUAAAAUUAGCACUUUCCCUCUUCCCAACCUCUAGAACCUUCUAUCAAAUCACCUGCUUAUCUUCUGUGCAGCCCACUAUGUUUUCUUGUUUAUAAUUCCUCUCCCUCCUUUAGAAUGGCAUUCUUUGAAUUAGAGGAUCUCUGUGCCUAUUUUAUUAGAAUAUCUGCAAUAUUUUUUAUAGAUCAUCAGAAAUUUAACAGAGUGGAAAACUGAAAGGUGAAGUGUUCCAAGUCAUUAAAGAUUAAAAAGUAACCAGAAUUCACGAGAAAGCAAAGUUAAGUUAUAAUGAUUUUUUAAAUGGACAUAAGGAUCAAUGGGAAAUCAAGAUAAAGCAAAGCUGAAAUUAUGGUAUUUUGAUGGACUUAGUGUCUAGUUUUAAAUGUUUUGUUUUGACUGACAGAACUGAAAUGCUAGACUGUCUGUUUCUAUAUAGGAUACCUGGCAACUGAAGUAAGACAUAUGAUAUUAAAAUAUAGCCUUUUACCCUGAAGGAUAUAACAGUUAUGUUGAGGAGAUGAAGACAUAAAAAAGAUAAGCAUGAAAUGUCUCAGCUGAGGAGUCACACAUAGGAAAACUCUCCUAAUCGCAUUUAUAACGUACUGUAGGAGAGGGCAUGCACACCUACACAGACAGCUCUCAGGUAUCUGUAUGGAUGACUUUUGGCCUAUUUGGAAUUCCGUGACUAAUUUCCUCCUGCUCCCCAAUAGGGUUCAACUUUGUAUUAUUUUUUUUAAUUUUCCAGAGUACUUUGACAUACCUGAUCUCAUUUUUUCUACAUGCCUUCUGUUGGCCUGUGAAGUGCAAUUAAGAAGACAACUAUUCUGUAAAAGUAUGUGUAAAUACUUGGCCUCCUAAUUGCAAACAGAAUGACUUGGGUUAUGCUCAGCAUUGUUUCCUUUCAUGAGUAUGAAUAAUAAAGUGUUGAUUGUAGGUGCAUUUAAUUGUUAAAACCCUUCAGAACAGCCAUAUAGCCAUGAAAGACUUUGUUGUUUAUUUAAUAGCUUUUGGUCUAAUAAUCUCAUUGCUGGAAAAAUGUAUUCCAAGUCUGUAAUUGAGAAGAAGAAAGAUAAAGAUUCUAUACAGGAAAAUCGUUCAUUAAUGAGUUAUCUUUUUUCAAAUGUUUUAUUUUACUUUAAGUUCUGGGAUACAUGUGCAGAACGUGCAGGUUUGUUACAUAGGUAUACAUGUAAUGAGUUAUCUUUUAAAAGUGUAAUAAUCUGUGUUUUAGCCAACAGGGCAAUAAGUAAACUAUGGUAUGACAACCCUCUGAAUGCUUAUACUGCUAUUACAACCAUAAAUACUGAAUGCAGAAAAAUGCUUAGCCAAUAAAUGAAAAAUAUAUGAGGAUGUAUGCAUAUUAUUAUCAUAACUCUUUGUGUGUAUAUAGUGCAUAUUGUACAUAUGUAUAUGAUACCACACAUAGACACACACGCACACUCACACAUACGUACAAAAACCCACAGAAGAUACAGGAAAAUAAAACAGCUGCUGUUAGGAUGGCAAAUUUUUUUUAAGGUGUUAUUCUUAAUGUUCUUUUAGUGCUGUAAUGUUUUUAUUGGAAGUAAGAUUCAGGGCAGGGAAAACAGAACGAUAAAAAUUGACCACAUAUGUAUAAAAACAAGUGCCAGUAAGACAGAGUGAACUCUGGUUGUAUAGAGAAGUCAGAUAUAUGUAAAUCUUAAUAGAGCCAUUCAGUGUCAAGCGGUUAGAAGGUGUAUGUGGCAUCAGUUUAACUUCUGAUGGUGUGGUGACCUCCCAGCCUCCGAUACCCACCCUAACCUAACCUAGCACCUAGCACAAUGCUUGGCUUGUUAUUGUCAUCACUAACGGAUGGAUGGAAUCAGUGGAUGGUUUUCUAAGAACAUAAAUCCAAAUUAGAAUUUAAGAGGCCGGGUGCGGUGGCUCACGCCUGUAAUCCCAGCACUUUGGGAGGCCGAGGCAGGUGGAUCACGAGGUCAGGAGAUCGAGACCAUCCUGGCUAACAUGUUGAAACCCCAUCUCUACUAAAAAUACAUCAGUAUUCUAUUGAUGUGCCAAUCUAGGCACUUAGAUGAUAGAAUAAUAAGGUAAGAUAGGUGGGAAACACUAAUUAGAACCAGAAGCAUUUAGUUGGGUAAAUAGAAGGAAGGAAAGAACCCAGUUUGUUAGAGAACAGAGGAUCUGCAAAGCUGGGGAAGUAGCAUUCUCUUGGGUAUGAAAAUAGGAAAGGGUGGUGCACGGAUAUGAAUGAUGGCAGCUGGGAGGUGGGUAAACUGAUAAAAUCAGUGAUGAGCAAGAGUUUGCUAGAAGUUCCUGAAGCUUCUGGAGAGGUGGUCCUUGCUACUAUUAAAGGCAUUGUUCAAAGAAGGGCCAGAAAACCCUUGGAUCAGGCUUGUACUCGGAAUUGUUUUUAGAUGAGUUUCCUUGCUCAUAGGUAACAGAUCCGGAGCAGCUUUACUUCUUGCUUCUCCUCCUCUUCCUCUUCCUCCUCCUCCUAUUCCUCCACCACCAUUACCACCACCAUCAUCAUCCCUUUUAUUAUUAGCUCAUUUAAUCCUCAUAACAACUCUAUGAGGUAGGUCGUAUUUCCCUCAGUUUACAGUUUUGGAAACUGAGACACAGAGAGAUUAAGUAUUUUACCUAAAUUCACACAGCUAAUAAACAGAGAUAAAAUUUGAACCCAGAGCAUCUGGUAUGAGAGCCAGUGCUCUUCUCCACUGUUACACUGCACAGUUGCGCCUGGGUAAGCAAUGAUUAUUUCCUUAUUAAAAAUAAAGACCUAUAGCUUCUUAGCCUGUCCUUUCUCAAAAAAUUAUAUUAGGAUCUCUGGAUUGUUUUUGUAUGAUAUAUUUCAAAAAAUUUUUAACAUACAAAUAUUAGAUAUGCUCACUCUCAAAAUGCAAAUAAUAUGGAAGUAGUAUGAGAAUAAUUACCCUCAUUCCUCCCUUCUAGGGAUGACCACAGGUAAUUUUUAGUGACUAUCUUUUCAGUCCUCUCUGGUUGUGUAUAUAUUUACAUGCAUAGGAUUGCACUUCUUUUGUUAUUUUAUACAUAUAUCUUUACAUACAUAUGUAUUGUGCAUAUGGAUGUACAUGUGUUGAUGGAAUUGUGCUUCACAUGUUCUUUUGCUUUUUGUAGUCUUUGUAUCAUUGUCACUGAGGUCUGGCCAUGUUAAUGAGUUUAGGUGUAUAUCACUGGAGCUCUUUGAUUUGCCGUUGUGUAUCCCUUCCCUGACAAACUGCUGGCACAUAAUAGAUGCUCAACAAAUAUUUGUUUAAUGAAUUGUGUUGAUUCCAUUAUCUUAUGCCACAAUGUUUAAGUAGUCAUUUUUUAUUUUACUCAUUUAUUUACUUAUUUUCAGACAGGGUCUUACUAUGUCACCCAGACUGGAGCGCAGUGGCGCACUCAUGGCUCAUUGUAGCCUUGACCUCCCAGGCUCAAGUGAUCCUCCUGCCUCAGCCUCCCAAUUAGCUAGGACCACAGGUGUGCACCACCAUACUCAGCUCUUUUUAUUAUUAUUAUUAUUAUUUAUAGAGAAGGGGGCUUGCCAUGUGGCCCAGGCUUGUCUUGAACUCCUGUGCUCAAGCAAUCUGCCCACCUCAGCCUACCAAAGUGCUGGGAUAACAGGUAUGAGCCACCAUGCCUGACCAAGUAGUCAUUUUUUAAUUGAACGUUUAGUUUGUUUCCUCUUCUCCACUAGUAUAAAAAAUGCCAUUUCCUCAUUUCAGGAAGGCUGGCCAUUUUGUGAUGAGACCUUUAUAGUUUGGCAGGCUCUUGGCAGGAUGAAGAUGAAGCUGUUUUCUCUCCAUCUGGCCAGGUAUUUGCUGGCUGCCGUUGAUCAGUCCCAAUGGAGACAGUGACUCUUGGGAAAUUAUUUCCUCCUACAUUAGAGGCCAGAUUUAAACAAAUAAAGCUUGAUUUUAUGUUGGCCUGUUCUUUAGAGACUCUUUAUCUUUGGUGGGUAGAAGAGCUCCAGUUGGAUUAUUUGUCUUUUCCAUGAAUAAUGUUCGUUUAACUGAAUUAGCAGGGGAAGAGCAAUGAAAUAUUAGAAAUGCUUAUUGUACCCUUUAGAGUAGUGCUUCUUAACCUUUCUGGAAUCUCAGAGCCCUUUUAGAAUGGCUCUGGGACUAAGCUGUGGGUCCUCUGCUUAGAGAAGUGCACAUGGGUGGUCAGUGUAUCACGGCCCCUGAAGAUGAGGAGUAUGGGUUGAGGACCUCUGUACUUAGGGGAGCUGUUGCCUGUGUUUGCCUUCCCUUCCUGCAUAGUCUCUUUGCUCUUUUCCUGUGACAGUGUUUUGGUGACACUGCUCUGGAAACUUCGGUGGCUUGUUGUUGUUGUUGUUCUUGAUAUUUUUGAGGUUGGGGAUGUAUGUAAAGAAUUAACAAGUGGAUUGCAUCUUGGUAGGCAGAAAGGAAGAAUACAGCAUUUUAUUUUCUGCCAGUGUGUAUAAACAGCCCACACCAGGGACUUUUUGUAGAUACUGUUAGUCAUGUUAAGCAGAUGAACAGGGUGCAUAUAAAGUGUUUGUUGAACAUGAGAGUUGGUUGUAGGAAAAUUCCCACUGAGCCCAGUGCUGCACACAUAUUCAGCACUCGUGAACCAGGCCUUCUGCUAGAUUACAGGAAUAGAAAGAUAAUAAAUCCCAGUUUCUGCCCUUUAAGGGCUUAUGUUCUAGGAGAGGGUAAGGGUCAUGAAAUGAAAUAAAUGGAGUAGUUUUAUUAGUGAGCCUGGUUUGUUUCCAAAGGCCAGAAACUGGCUCAAGGAAAAAAGAGAAUUUUUUGGUUCAUGUAUCUGAAAAUUCCAGAAGUAGCCUUUGACUCUUUCUGUUUUCCUCUCUGUUGGCUUCAUCCUUAGGUUACAUCUUUGUGUGUGACCCACCAGCCAUCCACUUCUGGCGGCUCCAACCUCAUAUCACCCUUAACAGUCAGCAGUUCUGGCAAGACGACAUACUUCUUCCCCUAUUGUUCCAAUAGAAGUCUUGGAGUUGGGUCACAUGCCCAUUCCUAAGCCAAUCAUUGGGGCCAGGAAGAGGGCAGAUAGAAUAUGCUGAUUGGCCAGGGUGUAACAGACAGGGGAGCCAUCUGGACUGUCAUCUGGGGAGGAAUGGUUCCCCAAGGGAGAAUCAAGGUGUUGUUACCAGAAGUGGGAAUGGAUGUGGGGCAAGUAGAAACAAGGACCACUACAGCAGUAAUCUACUAAUAGAAGUUUCUGUAAGAUGUGGGUGGACAAGGAAGAGGAUGUGACGGUCACUCUAGAAAGGCUUUCUGGAGAAGGCGAUGUUUAACCAAGUUUCUAAUGAAUGAGUCAAUGAAUCAAAGACUAAAAUAGCCAUCUUUCAGGACAUAGGAUUCUUUCAUAUGAAACUUUUUAAAGUGUGAUUGUGUUAGUUUAAAUUCUGGUUUCAAUCCCAUUUUGGUAAAAUUUAAGAUUCUACAAAUUUUUUAGGUGGCAUUGGAGGUUUGAGUUUAAGUAAAUUUGAAGACUGAGAUACAAAUUUGAAAAUAAUUUUUUUUCAGAGAUGUCCAUUAUAAUGAUACUUAAUGUGGUGGGUCUAUGUAUUUGGUACAUAUUCUAAGUAGGAGGAAAAUAACCGAAGUUAUAACUGUUUCUCCUUAUCACUGAUCAUUUGUAAGGGACUAUGCUUGGUACAGUACUAUAAACCCUUGAUUUGUUGGUGGGGCAGAAUAACCAUGGUUAUAAGUAAAUAAAACUAGCAUGCUUUUGAAGAGAAUGAAAUUGCAGGAGAAGGAAAGCAUCUAUAUCUUGGAAGGUUCCAGGUGCCUAGAACUUGACAGUAGCCAUUAGGAGACUGCUACCCGGUUUCUGGUCAGAUGUGUUCUUGUCUCACUGAAGCCCUGGAUUAGCUGCUAUCUCCUCAGCUGGGGAGGCCCCAGGGUAUCACUAAUUAGCAGCGCUGCAGGAAGUUUGAGCAAGUUUAAUCAUAUCUUUAAGCGAAGUCUUCUGGUAGUGCUAGACUACUCUUUUCUGUACCUGCUGAUUUUUUUUUAGAAACGGAGGCUGAUGACACCUUUUGAGUACUUACUGUAUACCAUUCUUUCUGCCAAAAAAGUCUCGUGUAUUGUUUCUUGAUCCUAUGAAGGUAGACACAAUUAUCCCUGUUUUGCAUUUCAGGAAACCAAAAGCUUAAAGAGGCCAUACCCUCAACUUUUUCAAUUUAGCACCAAGCUAAUCUGAGAGUGCUUGAAGGCUUCUCUGAUGAGCCCAGAGAAAGACAAGAGGAAGCUGACAUUAAGGAUGAGGUUGAUUUCAUUUCCUAUGUGAUACACGGAGUUUAAGAUACAGUUGUGGGCCAGGCACGGUGGCUCACGCCUAUAAUCCCAGCAUUUUGGGAGGUCGAGGCGGGCAGAUCAGUUGAGGUCAGGAGUCCGAGACCAGCCUGGCCAACAUGGUGAAACUCCUUCUCUACUAAAAAUACAAAAAUUAGCUGGGUGUGGUGACACACGCCUGUUAUCCCAGCUACUCGGGAGGCUGGGGCAGGAGAAUUGCUUGAACCUGCGAGGCGGAGGUUGCAGUGAGCCGAAAUUGUGCCACUGCACUCCAUCCUGGCUGACAGAGCGAGAUUCCAUCUAAAAAAAAAAAAAAAGAUACAGUUGUGAGGUUUCUUGAUGAGGAAGAGCAAGUCAGAAGCAGUGAGGGGUGACUGCUAUCUGGCUUUCAUCAUGGGAAGGCCUGCUCUCCUUCUGAUUCCCUUGCCAGGCCAUUUAAGAUGCUUCUUUGCUCAGAAACCAGUUGCUGUCUGCACAUUUUCUUCUAAUAUUUGAGUGAAAGGAAGUUCAUCUGAAUAGGGAACUUGGAGCCAACACUAGGGGACUGCCUUAAAAGACUGUUACCUCUUUGAGGGGCCUUUUUUUGUUUUGUUUUUUUAAUACAGGCUUAAAUUAAUCCCAAACCUUUGUAUUGUAUUCCUUAUUUUUAAAAAUAACUUUUAUUUUGUGUGUUUAAGGCAUACAACAUGAUUGUAAGAUACAUAUAUGUAGUAAAGCAGUUACUAUAGUGAGACAGAUUAACAUAGUGAUCAUCUCACAGUUAACCAUUCUCUACCCCCCAAGAACAGCUGUAAUCUCAUUUAGCAGAAAUCCUGAAUGCAAUACACAUUAUUAACUGUAGUCUUCCUGUUGUAUCUUUAGACUUACUCAUCCUAUAUAUUUGCUACGUUGUGUCCUUUGACCUCUACACCUCAUCAUUUCCUUUCCACUACCCCAAACCUGGUAAUCACUAUUUUGUUUUCUAUCUCUGUAAAUUUGACCUUUAUUCUUUUUUUUUUCAGAUUUUACAUAUAAUUGAGAUCAUGCAAUAUUGUUAUUAUUUUAAUUUUUUUCUGUGAUGUUUUUAAAAUGGUAAAUAUUUCUGUGUAUUGGAAAUAAGUUUCUCUAAACAAAUUUUUAUUUCAUUUUAUACCAUAUUUUAUUAAAUUUUAAUUGUUAAUAAGGAUUGAUUUGGGGUUGUUUUAGAUUGGUAAUUCCCCCUAGUCCAGUUGACUGAGAGUUAACUGCAGGAUGAAAAUGGACCCUGACAGCUCAGAGUGGGCUAGAACAAAUGCCAGAACUACAGGUAAGGGUGUUUGUUGCAGCAUUGGUGGAAAAGCUAAGAUAGAUAGAAGAGAUCGUUAAAAAGGCAUUGCUCAAAAUAGCUUACUAGUAUGGGACUGACAAUUUCCAUUAUGUGUAUCCAUACCGUGGAGUCCUGUGCAGUAUUUUCUAUGUGAUGCAGGUCUGUGUGUCCUUUUAAGAAAAGCACUGUGACAGUAGCGACAUCCAAAACUUCUUGAAUAAUGUGAUCUCAUUUGAGUAAAUAAAAGGAUGUUUAUGAAGUCUGUGCACAUGCUCUUCCUUGUAUAUAAAUAAUUUCUAGAGAUGAUACUCAAAAAUCGUUGAAAUGUUCGGGGAGCGAGAAUAGAGAAUUUUAACCUUCCAUUUUUAAACUUUUCUGUAUAGUUUGAUUUUACUCCAUGCACAAGUGUUAGUUUUAUUUUUAAAAUAACAGUCCUAAAAGUAACACUUAUUGGUUAUGAAUGAAAGAGAAAUUUCAGUAAUAAAACCCAGUUAAGUUCCUUAAUUAAAAUAAAUCCAUGGGUGUGGUUUUAGUAGCUAGGUCUGUUACAUACCUUAAGACCCAGGACAUUUCUUUUCUCUCCCUCCUCCCAGGCUUUAUGAAACUAUAGUUAUUUAUUUCAUAGAUGUUUAAAAGUAGGUCAGCAACACAACCAGAAAAAGACUCUCCGUUGGUUUAGGGGGAGGUGGGUGGGAGGGCGCUAGCAGAGGACAUCAGGUUGGCUUCCUUGAUCUUCCUCUGCCUUUUUGUGUUUGUUGCUGGUUUCUAACCAUUUUCCUCCCUUUUCCCACAUACAUUUUGAAGAUUAUUUUAGACUGGGCAGUGCCCUAACAUUUUUAGCUUUUGCCUUCUGUAUUUUUACAGCAUGUUUUUAGAGUCUGUUUAUUUUCUUAGUGUCUAUUUGAUCAGUUCCUUUAAAUUUUAUAUCUAGUGCUUUAUUGCUUCAUAUCCUGCUUGCUUCUGCUAUAGUUUAGUGUGCAUCUGACUUUGGUCAUUCCGUUGCUAUCCUGUUCCAUUUAUCCCUUUUAUGUUUGUAUUUCAGUUUUUUUUUUUUUAAAUAUCUGAAUAAUUCAAUGUCUCCAACCCAAAUAGCCAGUGAAACUUUUCUCGACCUACCUGGUUACGAUGGCUGAAAUGAUACAAGCAACCAUCAGGCAGGAAGGGCUCUGGUUCUCGAUGGUGUAUUAUUGUUCUGACAGCUAAACCCUGGCAGGAUGAUGCCUACAGGCUCCUAAUAUGGAGCGCGAAUGUUUGGAAAUGUUGGAAAAUUACAGGCAAUGGCCCUCUUUACAUGGGCUUUUCAUGGGAAUAGAUGAAUUCAUAUACAAAUAUUGCUUAAUGUUUUAUUUUAAGAGGCAGUAACUCUACAAACUGAUGAAAUGUUUACAACGUGUUUUUUCUGAACAUUAACUCAUGUAAAGUGUUUGUGGUUCUCAUGGCUCCCAUCAUGGGUGGAUGAGGAAGCAGAGCCUCCUCCACAUUCAAGCCUUCUGACUGCAGGGCUCCGCUCCCGCCUGAGCUUUUCCUUCCAUCCUCGCUUGUCUUCACAUCAGUAAUACUGAAAGUAUUUGGCAAGCUGAGCUUCUAGAAAGUGAUACAUUUUUGGAAAGAUUUUUUCCUCCUCAACUAUUUAGCAUUGUGAAUAGUUUCCCCUUUUGUUCCUUUCGCCCUCUGUCCCUCAGGCCGUGUUAUUUUCAAGACCUUCCAUUCCAUUUUGCUAGCCUCCCUUGUUCCACAUCCAUACCUCCCUUCUCAUACUUUUCAUUCCACCUGAAGAGUGGGAAAUGGCUUUUUCCAUUAAUCCUGCCUUGCUUUUCCUGUAAGAUCUAGCACCAAACCUCCCUCUUCCCAGAAGUCUUGUCUGACGUGGUACAUCCAACUUCAAUCGUUUCAAAUCUCCAUUGGCCCUCCCCUACAGUUCUGAAAGAUUCUGUCUUACACAUGGGGUGGUCGAGGAGGGGAGGCAGGUUUGUAAUGGAAAUGAUGGUAGACUGAGCAAGGAGAUGUAGCAUCUGCUUCCCUUGUGCUGCUAAACGGCAUGGACUUGGAAAAGCUGCUCACCCCUCCUAGGCCUGUGGUUCUGCAGCUUUAAUAUAAAAGGGGUAGGACUAGAGAACUGCGUCUACAGUAGUGAUUUUCAAAUUAUGUUUCAAGAAUCUUUGGGACUCUACAGUUGCUGAGGUGAAAGAAACCUUUCUCCCAGCUUCUUCCAGAGCUGCCCUGCUUUCAUCUUGCUGGUGUACUGGGGUUUCACAUUCAAUUUUUAUCUGUCUGUCUAUUUUUGAUAAAAGAUAUUCUGUACUAAUAGUUUUAAAACCAUCAGAUUAAAUGACCUGAAUGUGGUUAUUGUUUCUUACACAUAGUUAGCUACUUAAUAAAUAGUUUUAAUUCAACUUAGCUUUGAUCAUUUAGCAAACUAUAAAGAUGAUCCCUGAAAGUUUAGUCUUAGCUUUGUUCUUUAGAUGUUUCUUGUGUGUAUCAUCUCCCAAUCGACAGUCAGUAAACUUCAUCAUUCCCAGUACCUAAGAUUGCAGUGUGUAUACUUGUGUAUACUUUAUUACCCAGCGUCCCUGAGAUUACUUAAUAAAGGAUUUUAUAGGAUAAAAGUAGCUCCAGUCUUUGUGUCCUGGGUUGCCUGGAGAGUAUUAAGAAAACAUAAUAAAAUUGGUUGAGGUGUACCAUACAUGUAUUUAUCUUACAUGAAUUCAACUAUAAGCAUUCUGCAAAUAACAAGAAUAUAAUGUGGCCUCUGAACACCAGUAACUGCUUUGUCUGGUGCUCAGCUGAAUAAACCACCGUAUGGAGGAAAAACUCUCCGUGGAACUUAGUGACAGGCAGUACAGUACAGUUUAAACAAAGCAAAGUAUAUUAUGCCAUAUGCCCGGCUUAAGGGCUUUUCACGAGAAAUUCUCACUCUAUCUGGAUUUUGCCUUAAAUGUUAGCUGUAGAACCUAACACCCAAGUAAAGAUAUGGUAUCAUCAUAUUCUAUUUCACUUCAUUGGAAGCUCUUUCCCAUGAAGGAUUCUGCAGAUUUUUAAUACAUGGUGAUGCUUCCAUAAAGUACUCCUUUAAAGCAUUUGAAAUAAUCUGUUUGAAAUAGGAGUAUGAAACCAUUUAGAAAGCACCUCUCUAAAGGAAAUUAAGUUUAUGAAGUGAAUAAGUGAACUAAUGUCAUGCUAGCAGCCUGUGUAGAGGAUCUACUGCUUCUGAGGGACAGGGGUUAUCGGCUAAAGGAAGGACAGAUCUCUUGAUCCCUAUUUGGCCCUUUUGCUAACCCUGAAAGUAGCCCAAGAGCAAGGCCUCUGAAAUGCUAGGACAUUUGACCCAAUCAUUAUUACUACAUUUUUGUAUAGUCUCAAUGGAGUCUUUAACAUCCAUACAUAAUAGAUGUAUCCAUCCAAUAUAAAUUCAAUGAAUAAAAGCGCACCUAAGUAAGACUGUGUAUUGAAAAAUGCAACGUUCAUAAGAUAUCCUGUUGGGAAAAGAUAUUUUUUUACAUGCCAAAAAUACAAAUUGAGACUUUACUAAACUAGAUUGGAAAGACAGUUCUGUAGAGACAUCUGGUUCCCUGUAGGUGGAAUUUCAACUCUUAAAAGCGAGCAUAUCAACUUAAAUAGUAUGUGAACUAGAGAAUUUAGAUUUUGAACCUGCUGGUUCAAACUUUUCUGUGUUUGCCAUCAUCCUCAGGUAGGUUCUCCUCAUCGUGUCAAAGAUAGGCCCUUGGAGACCAGGAGAAGCUCCUGGUCUGUACCCUACCCAUUUGCACGCAAGAGUACACCUCUGUGGUAAUAGUUCCAGCAAAAGUCCCAGGGCAGGCUCUUUCAUUGGCCUGGGCCAGGUUCUGUAUUCAUCCCUAAAGUGGUCACUGUGACUGAGGCCACUCCUGAGUCAUAUGCUAGCCCUGGGGUUAGCUCCGCCCAACCACACAGACAGAGCUGAGGGAAGGAGUACACUAAAGGAAAAUUGAGAAGUUUUAGUUAGAAAGUGGGGAUGGAUUCUGGGCUGGCAGAAAGAACAGAUGUUCCUCAUAAUGAGCAAUUGCAAGGGCUCAUACAAGACAAGUUUCAGAGGGGCUAUUGAUGGUGUGGGUAAAGAAAAUUAUAUAAAAGUAACACCUCAACCCGCGGUUCUUCCUUGAGAUUAUGGUUCCUUUUAUUUCACAAUUUGUGGCAUUGCUGGGCCAAUAAAGAGAACUUCAAACAGAUAUUCCACAUUCUUUUAUUGGCACACAGAGGGCCAUCAAUUAACCUUAUUAAAAAAAAAACAACAGUGGAAGAAUCCUGUUUUGAAAUCUUGAUUUGCUUUAAAAGCACGUAGAUGGUUGUUGACAGAUUUUUGUUGGUCCUGGGGCUGCCACAGGUCAGCCAGGUGUUUUUUUCCCCCUGCUGGAUACGGAUCUUUGGACAUUUGCCUCCAGUCUUUGCGUUGAACUCAGCAGUUUCCUGGGUGAGGAGGCAACCUUUGUGUGCUCAGCUUCUUCCAAAGCAGCUGUCUCUAGAAGUUGCUAGCCAUCUCCUGGUUAAGAAAGAAGAUGGAAGGUGGUAGGGAGAGGAAGCAAAAACAUUUCACACUGCCUCCCCAAAGACAGAUCUGUUAUCCUGCCUUGACCACAAAAAUUCACGGAGGAAGUCAGUGAGUCAGAGAUGCGCCAGGGUGUAAGUUGUCAGCACAGUUCAGCGAGCUCUGGUAUCUUGUGUUUCUCUGUUCGUACCACUACUGCUUUCCUUCCUGGCUACAUUCACCAGCAUGAAGAAACUGGAGCAGCACCUUGAGAGGUUUCAUCAGCCCAUGGCUGGGAUGGUUGACAGAUCACUUGCAAAGCCAUGGGAAAAGGACCUGGUUCCUCUUGACUCCUCUGACUUAUUUUCAGUGAUCCGACAUCUUGAAAAUAUUUUCCAUUUCACUCCUAGGUUCUUGUAGGCCUUCCCACAAUGAGCACAUUCAGUCUUAAAAAUUUUUUUUCUGCUUUAAUUGGCGUGGGGUCGGAUCGCUUCUCCUUGGGUCUUAACUGUAUUCAGAGGGGCUUAGGGUUUGCCCAAGGCCUCAAAGGCCAUGAGUGGUAGGUCAUGGUCAAAGCAUGUCCUCUUUCCUCAAUAGCAGUGUUGGCCUAAAUUCAUUCUCCACUUCUUCGACUCUCUUUCUCUUGGGUGAUGAGGAGGUAUGAGAUAAUGUGUGAGAAAUCCUUGGCCAUCUUUGGAGUGAGGGGCUCUGUCUAUGUACCUGUGUCCCCAUCCAGAAAAUACAUAGCCAGGGUUGGCUGGUGCUGCUCUCAUCAUUGACAUAACCAAUCUGAAACUGGAAACCGAAGCACCAGUAUAGAAUGGUGGCCAAGAGGGUGGUCUGGUUUCAGACAACCUGGGUUGAAUUUAGGUCCCAUCCCUGACUACUUAGAAUAAUUUUAUGCCCCAGAUUCUUACCUGUUAAAUGGGGAUGAUUUUAACACUGACUUCAUAGAGUUCUCAGUGCAUUUGAAUGAGAUAAUCCAUUGAAAUCAAUUGGCAUGAUACUUUCCACCUCUUGAACACCCUAUAAAUGUUAUUAUUAUCUUAAUCCUGGAGCUUUAUGUCAAGAAAGGAGUUUGCCUUUUUUUUUUUUUUUUUUGUAAAAAUUGAAAAUUUU